AGUGAACGCUGGCGGUAGGCCUAACACAUGCAAGUCGAACGGCAGCACAGUAAGAGCUUGCUCUUACGGGUGGCGAGUGGCGGACGGGUGAGGAAUACAUCGGAAUCUACUUUUUCGUGGGGGAUAAAGUAGGGAAACUUACGCUAAUACCGCAUAAGACCUACGGGUGAAAGCAGGGGAUCUUCGGACCUUGCGCGAUUGAAUGAGCCGAUGUCGGAUUAGCUAGUUGGAGGGGUAAAGGCCCACCAAGGCGACGAUCCGUAGCUGGUCUGAGAGGAUGAUCAGCCACACGGGAACUGAGACACGGUCCAGACUCCUACGGGAGGCAGCAGUGGGGAAUAUUGGACAAUGGGCGCAAGCCUGAUCCAGCCAUACCGCGUGGGUGAAGAAGGCCUUCGGGUUGUAAAGCCCUUUUGUUGGGAAAGAAAAGCAGCAGGUUAAUACCCCGCUGUUCUGACGGUACCCAAAGAAUAAGCACCGGCUAACUUCGUG
rnacentral:rRNA from 1 species